rnacentral:tmRNA from 1 species
GGGGCUGAUUUGGAUUCGACGGGAUACAGAAAGCUUAAGGUGCAUGCCGAGGUGGGGCUGGCCUCGUAAAAAGCCUCAAACUAAUAGUUGCAAACGACGACAACUACGCUUUAGCGGCUUAAUCCCCGCUAACCAUCCACUCAGGUUUUGCCUGUAGGCAGAGGUUCGGAUGGUCAUCUAUACAGGCUCGCAUGGCGGCUUCGUCCGGAGCCAAGAUGUUAAAACCAAUCGGACUCGCUCCUGAAAAGCCUGUCGCUCGGCGUUUCAGUAGUUAACUAAAAGAGCCGACUAAGCAUGUAGUACCAAGAGUGGCGGUAUAACGGACGGGGGUUCAAAUCCCCCCAGCUCCACCA